GAGAGGGAGCCAGGGCUGCUAGCACAUUGUCACCUCUCGCUGGGAUUACAGUAAAGUUCUGUGACAACAGAAAACGUGUGACAAAAAUGCCAGAAUUAUUAUAGUCUCCCUUUAGUUCCUGAAUAUCAUUAAGAAAGAAAAUUAAUCUGUUACUAUUACAAGAGUUCCAGGGCUAUGAAUAACUAUUCUCUGAAAAAAUAAUAUCAUAGUGAAUUUACUUCAUUUCCCUAAAACAUCUAAGUAUAUAGUAAAAAGUGAGAGUAUUCUCUCCACACAAAGGCUUUCAAGCAACCGCAGGAGAAAAUGUCCUGUGUAGGAAUAAUGAAUAUUAAUCUAAAAUAAUUUUUUCUAAUAUAUGGUUUAAUUCCA
rnacentral:lncRNA from 1 species